AAGGUUGUAGACUGGCUGCUGCAGAAUGAUAUGUAAGAAUGUUGUGAAAUUUUUCAACAUUUCAGAGGUCAGAAGUUGAUUAACCUAACUCAAGAAAAUUUUAACCCACCACUACUGCCCCUCUACAACCCCACAUCCACAGACCCUAUACUGUGGAUUCUCUUGACAACUAGCAGAGGCUAUUAGACAUGAUAGAGUCCCUGAAGAUGAAUCAACAUAUGGAAACACAAAAAAAUGAUGCUACAAACCAGCACAUCAGCCUUGGCAUAUCUACCUCUACGAGUACUGUGUUCAUUUUUCUGGUUUGUUCUCACAAAAGUGAUUAUUUCAGUCACCAUAAACAAGUACUUCUUAAUGAGGUACAGUCUCCAUUCCCAGACAUGCCUUUAGACCAUUUUAUCUAGAGGUAAAUUAUAUUAUAUGAGUUAGGUUAAUCAACUUCUGGCCUCUGAAAUGUUGAAAAAUUUCACAACAUUCUUACAUAUCAUUCUGCAGCAGCCAGUUUACAACCUUUGUGGUUAGACCAAUAAACCACUUUCUUCAUGAUGGUGAUAGAUUGCUCACAGAUAUUAGAAGUCACUUAUCAUGCAGACAGUAUAUUAUCAGUGGGGCUUUUCUACCAGCAAAGUUAAUGUCAUGAUCUUUGUAAGACUCUUAUUAAUUUAGUUGCUUUUAAAUACAAAUCUGUUAUUAGCAUAUGUUUUUUCUGCAUAUUUGAGAUACUUUACCUGUAUUUUUGUAUUAUAUGUAACUACUAUCCCAGUACCUGGCAGACAUUUCAAUUGUUCUCAGAAGCUCUUAGGAGACAAGGGUCUUGAGUUUAAAGACUAAAUAAGGUCAUUGCUGGAGGUGGCUUCUCUAUCACUGGCUCUCACAAUAUGUAUAACAACUAUAUGUAUAGUACCCACAUGGUCAUUCUUGAACAUGCCUACCUAUUUAUCAAUGAAUAUUCUUCUUAGCCACUCUCAUUUACCACUGAACUGGUUGAUGCUCCUGCAUCAUUGGAAGGUUUUAUAUCCCCUUACCACAUGAGCAUUAUACUGUGGGUGUAUACUAACUACCUAUAGCACCACAAGUCUUGGUAUCACACUAUUGUCAAUCAAAAUGUACUAAAGUGA
rnacentral:lncRNA from 1 species